AUAUAAGCAAAAUUGACUGUUUAGGUUCAUUCAUUUAAUGAUGUAUGUGUCUCAUAAUGUAGACCACAUACAUCAUUAAAUGAAUGAACCUAAAAAGUCAAUUUUGCUUAUAU
rfam:Medicago truncatula strain A17 chromosome 1, whole genome shotgun sequence.